GAUCACGUGUGGUCCCCCUAACUGUGCUUAUGUGUGUCGAUGAACACCGAGAUGAACAUCUGUGGUGAGUUUCUACUACAUUGAUCCGUUAUCAGUUUAUCAUUCGGGUAUGAGGAUCUACGAAUGCAGAAUACGAUUUAGUCUACUCCGGUGAUCGCGCGCGUACUGAUCUCUAUUGCGGAUAGUGGAAUUGGUAAAGUGUUAAAUUAGAUGUGAUAGUUGCUGUAUGGCUGUUCGGUGCAUCUGGUGAAUUACCUUUGUUCUACCAGUUGGCCACCCGGUAAUGUUUAAACAAUUCUAGGAAUCAAAUCUAUUCGCGAUUGACUAAUUUAUUGAUCAGGCAAAUACAUCUAAAAACAGCGAAGACACAAACUGCGUUGCUGACAACGACGAUGCAUAUACA